GUUUUGAUUUUGAAGGAUAAAAAUGGGGAUUUAAAAUCCCUCGACCUUUGGUUGUGCGGGUUCGAGUCCCGCUCCGGGCA
rnacentral:tRNA from 1 species